rnacentral:misc_RNA from 1 species
UAUCAAGCAAGCAUUUCGUGGUAAUAUUUUUGAAUAUCUAGGCAAAUAUUUGAAAGUUAGGAGGGGGGGGCCCGGGCCCUCCCCCCCUGCCCCUACCUGGCUACGCCCAUGAUUACAGCAGAGGAAUCGCAAAAUACGCGUUUGGUUUGCAGUUCGAAUCCUCCUUCCUAUCCCCCAACUGUAAGCUCUGAAGUACCAAAAGUAUACACGAAGCUGCUGCGUCUAAUCGAAUUUGAUACUGUUGUCGCCACACAUGGCCCUGGCAUGGAUGUGGAUGAACUGCCACCACACAAGCGUAAAUCGAAUAGUGAACUUGGACCACCUGCCAAGCAGCAAAAGACAAUUUAUCCAGCCUAUUUUAUACCAGAAUUAGCGCACGUUAUUGCGAUGUUUUUUAAUCUAUCACAGGAAUUGUCGAGACAUGAAAUACCAAAUAGCGGCUUGCAAGUGGAAGCUAAGACUAUGUUCAAACAGGCCAAUUAGUACUUGACAGCUGUGUGUUUUGAUUUUACUUGUGAAAAAUUCGGCGCGGAAAAUGGAGAAAACUUGAGUUAAGGACGAAUUUUACUAGCAGUCAAUACUGUCAAAAUUUGAUUGCAGCUUGGCAUUGUUGAGAAAAAGAAGGAGAAAUAAUUUGCUAGUCCUUCAAAUUUAAGGAUGCAGCAGCUACUGAUCCUAGCAGCAUUGGAACAAAAUGCAACUCAAAGGUCGCUGUAGAAGCUGAAUCGGCAAUCUUCUUUUUGGGAGGUCAACUGCAGCUGCAAUGAUGACCACUUUUUCAAACCAGAUUUUCGCAUGACAUGUGCCAGUUUUAACACACUCUGUGGCUUUCUCGGCAAUUAAAAAAAAAAAGCCGAUGCAAGCUGGCGCACGGCAAUUUCAUUGCAAAACGAGUAGCAAUCGCUUUAUUUGCCCUUUGUUCAGCUGGAGAGUAUCGAGUAGUAUAUGAAUUGUUUGGUGUUGGCAAAUCAACUGUGUGUGCAAUAUUGAUGGAAUUCUGCGAAGAAGUGUGGCAAGCGUUGUCCACACAGAAUAUAAAGAAAUUGCCACCCACGCAAGAAAUAGUUGCUGAAUGUGUGAAUGGUUUUCAUCGCCGUGGCUUUCCACAAUGUCUGGGAGCAAUUGAUGGAUGUCACAUCGAAAUAAAACCAAACACGACUGAUGCAACUGACUAUUACAAUUAUAAGGGAUGGUAUUCUGUUGUACUUCUUGCGCUUGUGGAUUACAGAUACCGUUUUUUAUAUAUAAAUAUUGGUGCACCGGGACGUUGCAAUCACUCCCACAUAUAUAAUCCAUCCCUACUUAAAAAGGUGUUAACUGAGGACUAAGUAUUGGCGGCCAAUAAGAAGAAUAUAUGCACAGAGACCGUUUUUUAUAUAUAAAUAUUGGUGCUCCGGGACGUUGCAAUGACUCCCAAAUAUAUAAUUAAUCCUUACUUAAAAAGGUGUUAACUGAGGACGAAGUAUUGGCGGCCAUUAAGAAGAAUAUAUGUGGUGUACAAAUGCCGGUCUGUAUCUUGGGGGACUCGGCAUUUCGUUCCACCACUUUAAUGAAGCCAUACGCCUUUUCUACGGCCUUGACAGAGAGACAAAAAUUAUUCAAAUUAUUUCAAAGUACAGAAGAGUGGUAGAGAAUGCUUUCGGUCAUUUAAAAGUCCGUUUUCGUCGCAUUGGAAAAGGCUUAGAUAACCGAAUAGGGAACGCGCCGAUGAUUAUUCGAGCUUGCUGUGUUUUACACAACUUUUUAAACGAAGAAUGUGAUAAUAUUAAUCAAAUAUGGUUGGGAAAUUUGGAAUAAUUUGAACGAAAUCGGGAAAACCCUUCGCAAAAUGUUGUACUUGGUGAUAACGAAGCCUCAGCUGAAAUCAUAAGACAAUCGUUGUGUUCUUAUUUUGGGAAGUAAAAGUUAUUCUUUCUCCAUAACUUUUUAUUGAAAAAAUUUAUUUAUUUAUUCGCAUUCAGAAAGU